rnacentral:rRNA from 1 species
GAUGAACGCUGGCGGCGUGCUUAACACAUGCAAGUCGAACGAAGAGGCCCAGCUUGCGGGGUGGAUUCGUGGCGAACGGGUGAGUGACACACGAGUGAACUGCCCUUAUCUCUGGGAUAAACCUGGGAGACUGGGUGGAAUACCGGAUAGAAGCGUUCAUCGCACGGUGGGUGGUGUAGAGAUUUACCGGUUUUGGGUGGACUCGCGGCCUAUCAGCUUGUUGGUGAGGUAGUGGCUCACCAAGGCGACGACGGGUAGCCGGCCUGAGAGGGUGACCGGCCACACUGGGACUGAGACACGGCCCAGACUCCUACGGGAGGCAGCAGUGGGGAAUAUUGCACAAUGGGCGCAAGCCUGAUGCAGCGACGCCGCGUGCGGGAUGACGGCCUUCGGGUUGUAAACCUCUUUCAGUAGGGAAGAAGCGAAAGUGACGGUACCUGCAGAAGAAGCACCGGCUAACUACGUG